CUGGUUGAUCCUGCCAGUAGUCAUAUGCUUGUCUCAAAGACUAAGCCAUGCAUGUCUAAGUAUAAAUGUUAUACAGUGAAACUGCGAAUGGCUCAUUAAAACAGUUAUAGUUUAUUUGAUAAUCGAAUUUACAUGGAUAACCGUGGUAAUUCUAGAGCUAAUACAUGCUGGUUAGCCUGACUUUUGAGGAAGGGCUGUAUUUAUUAGAUAACAAACCAAUAUUCCCCGUGUCUAUUGUGACGACUCAUAAUAACUGAUCGAAUCGCAUGGACUUUGUCCGCGAUACAUCAUUCAAGUUUCUGCCCCAUCAGCUUUCGAUGGUAGUGUAUUGGACUACCAUGGCUUUCACGGGUAACGGAGGAUUAGGGUUCGAUUCCGGAGAGGGAGCCUGAGAAACGGCUACCACAUCUAAGGAAGGCAGCAGGCGCGUAAAUUACCCAAUCCUGACUCAGGGAGGUAGUGACAAGAAAUAACGGACCGAAGCCUAUGUUUCGGGAUUGCAAUGAGUAGAAUUUAAACCCCUUUACGAGGAUCAAUUGGAGGGCAAGUCUGGU
rnacentral:rRNA from 1 species